rnacentral:sRNA from 1 species
ACACGGGAAAGGAGGUGGUCCGAGACAUGAUCUCUACUUGGACGCGUGAGGUGGCUGCCCGCUAGCAGUCCACGGACGGACCUGCCGGUCCCUCCGCCGACGGCGGCGAGAUCCCGGCAGUCACCGGCACCCGCGGGAGCCGUGGCUCGUCCACCACGGCACCCUGGCC